rnacentral:rRNA from 1 species
AUUGAACGCUGGCGGCAUGCCUUACACAUGCAAGUCGAACGGUAACGCGGGGCAACCUGGCGACGAGUGGCGAACGGGUGAGUAAUGCAUCGGAACGUGCCUGGUAGUGGGGGAUAACUGCUCGAAAGAGCAGCUAAUACCGCAUACGACCUGAGGGUGAAAGGGGGGGAUCGCAAGACCUCUCGCUAUCAGAGCGGCCGAUGUCGGAUUAGCUAGUUGGUGGGGUAAAGGCCCACCAAGGCAACGAUCCGUAGCUGGUCUGAGAGGACGACCAGCCACACUGGGACUGAGACAAGGCCCAGACUCCUACGGGAGGCAGCAGUGGGGAAUUUUGGACAAUGGACGCAAGUCUGAUCCAGCCAUGCCGCGUGCGGGAAGAAGGCCUUCGGGUUGUAAACCGCUUUUGUCAGGGAAGAAAUCUUCUGGGUUAAUACCUCGGGAGGAUGACGGUACCUGAAGAAUAAGCACCGGCUAACUACGUGCCAGCCGCCGCGGUAAAAC